rnacentral:rRNA from 1 species
UAGGGAAUCUUCCGCAAUGGACGAAAGUCUGACGGAGCAACGCCGCGUGAGUGAUGAAGGUUUUCGGAUCGUAAAGCUCUGUUGUUAGGGAAGGACAAGUACCGUUCGAAUAGGGCGGUACCUUGACGGUACCUAACCAGAAAGCCACGGCUAACUACGUGCCAGCAGCCGCGGUAAUACGUAGGUGGCAAGCGUUGUCCGGAAUUAUUGGGCGUAAAGGGCUCGCAGGCGGUUUCUUAAGUCUGAUGUGAAAGCCCCCGGCUCAACCGGGGAGGGUCAUUGGAAACUGGGGAACUUGAGUGCAGAAGAGGAGAGUGGAAUUCCACGUGUAGCGGUGAAAUGCGUAGAGAUGUGGAGGAACACCAGUGGCGAAGGCGACUCUCUGGUCUGUAACUGACGCUGAGGAGCGAAAGCGUGGGGAGCGAACAGGAUUAGAUACCCUGGUAGUCCACGCCGUAAACGAUGAGUGCUAAGUGUUAGGGGGUUUCCGCCCCUUAGUGCUGCAGCUAACGCAUUAAGCACUCCGCCUGGGGAGUACGGUCGCAAGACUGAAACUCAAAGGAAUGGACGG